UGGGGAAUUUUGGACAAUGGGCGCAAGCCUGAUCCAGCCAUGCCGCGUGAGUGAAGAAGGCCUUCGGGUUGUAAAGCUCUUUCGGACGGGAAGAAAUGGCGGGCUCUAACAUAGCCUGUCGAUGACGGUACCGUAAGGAGAAGCACCGGCUAACUACGUGCCAGCAGCCGCGGUAAUACGUAGGGUCCGAGCGUUGUCCGGAAUUACUGGGCGUAAAGCGCGCGCAGGCGGUCUGGUCAGUCGAUGGUGAAAGCCCCACGCUCAACGUGGGAAGGUCCGUCGAGACGGCCAGACUGGAGGCAGGGAGAGGUCGGUGGAAUUCCGGGUGUAGUGGUGAAAUGCGUAGAGAUCCGGAGGAACACCAGAGGCGAAGGCGGACGACUGGACCUGACCUGACGCUGAGGCGCGAAGGCGUGGGGAGCGAACG
rnacentral:rRNA from 1 species